rnacentral:lncRNA from 10 species
UGUUUGCAGAAUCUGCUUUCAGGAGUCUUGGACUUCUGUGAAUGGUUAUUCUUCUGGGUGUUCUGUCCCGUACUCUGACAGUACUGGGACAUCGCUGGAGACUUUGUUACUUUCUGUCCAACCGCUGAUGUGCUUCUGCCUAUAGCUUAGCCUAGGAUGGCUCAGCUGGAGCAGGAUGGUGAAAGGUAGCCUACAUGUGUGCACUGACAUGGCUGGGCUGGUCAGGCCUCCUAGCAAAAGACAAGUGAUUCUGACAAGAUGUUCCGACACUCAGCCCUCAGGAUGAUCAUCUGUUAAGGGAGAGAAAAUCUUUUUCUGUCUGGUGUUUUUCAAAAUUUUGAUGAUGGACUCACAUCAAGGAUGAAGAGCUUUGAUGUCAUUUGAACACCACCACCAUCACCACCACCAGCAUCAACAAACAAACAAGCAAACAAGCGUGAACUCAGGAGCCCUGUGGCCCAGCCUCCAGUCCAUUUCCUCACUGUGAUCUGGCUAAGUCACCUCCCCUCCACCUCAGUUCAGUCACCUACACAACAGGAAUGGUGGCUCCUGGCGUGAAAAGUUCUUAGGAGCAUUCAGCAUGAUGCUGUGUGGAGCACUUGGAAACUGCGUGUGCAUCACCUCAUAUUUCUGGCCACAGGUCAUUCAGACAUCUGCCCUUUGCCCUGGAGGAGAACCACUAGGGACUUGUGCCCAUAAGCACCAAUUCUGGCUUUUACCCUACCCAUCCUUUGCCAUCCCAAACUAUGCCAUCAACAAAUUCUAGAAAUCAAGUUAGAAAUGCUGUUCCCACGAGGGUCUCUGUGGUCUCUCAGAACAACAAUCAGCUGGCCCUGCUGGGCAGAUGUUGCCCAAUCCUAACCCACACUUAGCUAUCAACUUAAUCAUUCUCAACUAAAAACACCUACCUGAACACUUUUAGGGGUUAAGAAUAGUAUAAUCUCACUUAGCCAUUUGCAUUUUUUCUUCUUUUUACAAAAAGAAAUUUAUCUUUUUUUUUUUUUGAGACGGAGUCUUGCUCUGUUGCCCAGGUUGGAGUGCAGUGGCGCAAUCUUGGCUCACUGCAAGCUCCGCCUCCUGGGUUAGCGCCAUUCUCCUGCCUCAGCCUCCCGAGUAGCUGGGACUACAGGUGCCUGCCACCACGCCUGGCUAAUUUUUUUGUAUUUUUAGUAGAGACGGGGUUUCACCGUGUUAGUCAGGAUCGUCUUGAUCUCCUGACAUCGUGAUUCGCCCUCCUCAGCCUCCCAAAGUGCUGGGAUUACAGGCGUGAGCCACUGCGCUCUGCCAAGAAUAGUAUAAUCUCACUUAGCCAUUUGUAUUUUUUCUUCUUUUUACAAAAAGAAAUUUAUCUCAUUAUUAUGUUUAAUCAGUUUCUUGAGGUAUAACUUAAGUGUGCUAAAAUUUGCUCUUUUUAGUGUACAGGUCUAGGAUUUUUGAGAAACACAUAUUCAUAUGUGACCACCCCCAUGAUCAACAUAUGGAACAGUCAUUUGCCACCCAAAAUUACCUUGUGCCCUUUUGUUGUCAGACUCUUCUUUCUCCAGACCCUGGCAACCACUGAUGGAUUUUCUGUCCCUAUAGUUUUGCCUUUUCCAGAAUGUUCUGCAAAUGUAAUCAUUUAGUAUGUAGCCUUUUAAGUCUGAUUUCUUUCACUCUGCAUAAUGCAUUUGAGAUUCACCCACGUUGUUACCUGUUACAAUGGUUUGUUCCUUUUUAUUGCGGAGUAAUAUUCCCUUGCAUGGAUGUACCACAGUUUGGGUAACCAUUCAACAGUCAAAUGAGAUUGAAUUUGUUUCCAUUUUUUGGUGAUUAUAAAUACAGCUAUAAACAUUUGUGAAAGUGUUUUGUAUGUACAUACAUUUUUCUUAGACAUUUGGUUUUAAGAGAUGUAUUUAGGUUUAGUUCCAGAUGAACAAUGAGAGACUGAAAGACUUAAGGGACCCCUGAGAAGAGCAGAGGGAAUAUUCCCUGAGGCAGCCAUCAGUCAGACCUGGCCCUGUCAUUUAAAUGUGGGCUAGUGGUAGCAAGAUGCUGUUAUUAUUUUCACCAAGGACAUUUUUUGAGUAGCAAUUAAAAUGAAGUCUAUUUCUCUGAGCCCCUGGAGAAGAACAUAAGCACAUGAUGGUAACCAUCAAUUUAGUGGGCCUAACGUUAUCUAGGUGGUUAAUGUUUCCAUGGCUUCUGGCAAUUCCCAGUGUAAGUCACCUGUGUAUACUGGGUGGAUGCUUCUUUAAAUUAAAGAUAAGCUGUUCAGCUUAAUAACAGCUAAGGGAGAAUAUAGAGCCCGUGGGUGAACUGUUUACUAACAAGCUUCUUCAGGGUCAUUCAACUUGAAUGAACUCUCUUUUAGGCUAACUUGGUUUGUGGAGGGAAUGCAUGUUUCUUAGUUAAAAUAGUUACAUUGGAAUCCCAACUGUGCACAGGACUUCAAGGGUAAUUAUGAACCCCCACUGCAGAUUUCAGGCUUAGCACCAAUUCUCCUUGCUUUCUACUUGUAUCCAUCAAAAACAGAAGUUACGAUGGAGUUACAGCUAUACUUGUAAGGGUCUCAGUGAACCUCUCCCACUAUUCUGCCUUAUCACCUUUGGGUUCCUGUGUUCUCUACCCCCUCCCCACUGCAUGUUUUCAUUCAGCCAGGAAACAUUUACUGCCUGCCUGGUAUCAAGCCCUUGCAUGAGGGUGGGAGCUCAUAAAGAUGACUACACUAGAGAAUCAUUUGACCUUUCUCAUGUAGACCUCAACAUGAAUGAGUUUCAAUGCUGAUAGGGCAAUCAUUACCUUCAGACAAAUUUUCAGGAACAGCCAAGACUAGAGAAUGUAUGGCUAAAACACAGCACUAUGCAUUUAUAAUAGUCAUGGGUUCUCCUGUUUUAAUUGUACAUGGAGAAUAUUUCAGCUUUAUUUGUAUGGGCUGCUCUUAUGUAAAACAUUAUUUCAAUGAGGAAAUGUGUUUGGGGUUCUAAAUGACUAACUUACAAACACAACUUUGAAUAAAGUCCAUGAAUAAUUUGAGGAUUUAUGUCUAUCAAUGGCUGAUUUACCAGAUUGUUGGCUUUGGGUUUAUUGGUAUCCAUGUUGAGAGGCAUCAGAUCAUCCAAGGUUUAAGUUUCGUCCUGACCACUGACUAGCAUUGAGACCUUAAUGGGAUUAAUAACAAUGAUAAUGAUAGUGACAAGAGCUAGCUUUUCAUGAGCACAGUGGCUAAGAGAGUUAGCAUCAGUUCUAGCUGCUUUCAUUGACAUAGAUGUAAAUGGGGAGGGAAACCAUGACUAGACUCAAAUCUCUGCUCUAACGUCUGAUACCUGAAUAUCACUUUGCAAGCCACGUCAUCUCUCUAAGUUGUAGCUCUUUGUCUGAAAAAUGUGGAUAGUUAAUACAUUAUAAAUAAAUUAUUAUUACAUUAAUACACAGAAAUUCAUAAUGCUAUUGUGGGGAUUACAUGAGAUGAUGGAAGUAUUUAAUCUAGUGUCUUGUAUAUGGCAAAUAAAAAAUAAAUAUUCACUGCUGUUAAU